GAUGUGAUGGGGAGCGAAAUUUAGUAGCGAAGUAGCUGAUUUCACACUGUCAAGAAAAGUCUCUAUCGAGGUUAAAGGUACCCGUACCGCAAACCGACACAGGUGGGUGAGGAGAGUAUCCUAAGGCCAGCGAGAGAACUGUUGUUAAGGAACUCGGCAAAAUGACCCCGUAACUUAGGGAUAAGGGGUGCCACCAUCAGGUGGCCGCAGAGAAUAGGCCCAAGCGACUGUUUACCAAAAACAUAGGUUUCUGCUAAGUCGCAAGACGAUGUAUAGGAGCUGACGCCUGCCCGGUGCUGGAAGGGUAA
rnacentral:rRNA from 1 species